UACAGAGGGUGCAAGCGUUGUUCGGAAUCAUUGGGCGUAAAGGGCGUGUAGGCGGUUUGUUAAGUCAUGUGUGAAAUCCCUCGGCUCAACCGAGGAACGUCGAUCGAUACUGCUGUUCUUGAGGAUUGCAGAGGAGACUGGAAUUCCCGGUGUAGCGGUGAAAUGUGUAGAGAUCGGGAGGAACACCGGUGGCGAAGGCGGGUCUCUGGACAGUUCCUGACGCUGAGGCGCGAAGGCCAGGGGAGCAAACGGG
rnacentral:rRNA from 1 species